AGCCUGAUCCAGCCAUGCCGCGUGAGUGAUGAAGGCCCUAGGGUUGUAAAGCUCUUUUGUGCGGGAAGAUAAUGACGGUACCGCAAGAAUAAGCCCCGGCUAACUUCGUGCCAGCAGCCGCGGUAAUACGAAGGGGGCUAGCGUUGCUCGGAAUCACUGGGCGUAAAGGGUGCGUAGGCGGGUUUUUAAGUCAGGGGUGAAAUCCUGGAGCUCAACUCCAGAACUGCCUUUGAUACUGAAGAUCUUGAGUCCGGGAGAGGUGAGUGGAACUGCGAGUGUAGAGGUGAAAUUCGUAGAUAUUCGCAAGAACACCAGUGGCGAAGGCGGCUCACUGGCCCGGUACUGACGCUGAGGCACGAAAGCGUGGGGAG
rnacentral:rRNA from 1 species